rnacentral:rRNA from 1 species
AUUGAACGCUGGCGGCAGGCCUAACACAUGCAAGUCGAGCGGAGCGGCGGACGGGUGAGUAAUGCCUAGGAAUCUGCCUGGUAGUGGGGGAUAACGUCCGGAAACGGGCGCUAAUACCGCAUACUAUCAGAUGAGCCUAGGUCGGAUUAGCUAGUUGGUGGGGUAAAGGCCUACCAAGGCGACGAUCCGUAACUGGUCUGCGAGGAUGAUCAGUCCCACUGGGACGGAGACACGGUCCAGACUCCGAGGAGAGGCAGCAGGUGGGAAGAUUGGACAAUGGGCGAAAUCCUGAUCCAGCCAUGCCGCGUGUGUGAAGAAGGUCUUCGGAUUGUAAAGGAUUUUAAGUUGGGAGGCGUUACCCACAGAAUAAGCACCGGCUAACAUCGGGCCAGCAGCCGCGGUAAUUC